GGCUGGGUUUAUGUUGUCUCAAAAAGAGGAUGUUGCAAUUAAAAGUUUUGUUGAAAUGACUGACUGCAAGUAUGACACGUAAAAUUAUUAGUUUGUCAUUAUUCACUUACCUUCAUUGUGGUAUUUUCUCACACUAAUACCUUAUACAUGUCUUUAUGGAUGAUUCUUUUGGACCACUUUAUGUCCUGUGAAGUAAAUUAAACUUAUUAAUUGAUCCUAAAGGAUGGCUUAAUGAUGAGGUUACAAGUGUAAAGAAAUAUUUUUCAACACAUAGUGUCCCUGAUUGCGGGAGAUAUGCAAUUUGAAUGAAAAAAGAUAGCUGCACAACUUUUGCUCGGCAAGAUAAGUCCUUAGAAAUAAGGUGCACAUGAGUUGGAGAUGGCUAGUGUGGCUAAGGAUGAUAUCGAUUAUCAAGAUAUGAUUUUCUUUUCUUUCCGAGUGGGGUCUUUGUGUGAAUUUGUGCAAGGAAGAUAUUACAAGCUGAAGAGAUCGUGAUUGUCUAUCUCUCGUGAUUUUGGUCCUUAGCUCUUGUUUUUUCUUUUGCCUUUAUGCUCUAAAAUUGGUUCUUGGAAGAAGUUCAUAUGAAGAAGACGUCAAGGGGCCUCAAUGCCUAUUCUGUAUUCGCAGGCCUCGGAUUUUUUUGGGUUGCUCAGUUUGACAUUAUAUAGUUUUUCGUUGGUUAUUUAUUGCG